rnacentral:rRNA from 1 species
GAUCACCUACGGGGCGCAGCAGUGAGGAAUAUUGGUCAAUGGUCGGGAGACUGAACCAGCCAAGCCGCGUGAGGGAGGAAGGUACAGAGUAUCGUAAACCUCUUUUGUCAGGGAACAAAGACUGGGACGCGUCCCCGGAUGAGUGUACCUGAAGAAAAAGCAUCGGCUAACUCCGUGCCAGCAGCCGCGGUAAUACGGAGGAUGCGAGCGUUAUCCGGAUUUAGUGGGUUUAAAGGGUGCGUAGGCGGACUGUCAAGUCAGCGGUAAAAUACGGGGGCUCAACCUCCGCCCGCCGUUGAAACUGA